ACUAUUAUUGUACUAUAUUAUUGUACGAGUGUUUUAUACAAUUGAAAGUUUACUGUUUAGUUCUAACUAGAGCUAAAUAUGUAAUUUACGAUAAUCUGAGCAACAAUUAAACAAAUGCGACAUUGAACAAGUACACAACCUUUAUUCAACUUACAAUAGCCUUGAUAUUUUUUGUUUUAAUUUGCAUAUAAUUAUGUCUAAAUUUCCACGAGAUAAAGCAUCGUGAUUACCAUUAUAAAUCAAACUAAUAGGUCUGGAAGGAUAGAAACUGAGCAAUAGCAGUUUUAUAUGUUCUUCUCAUUUCCCUAAAAACAGUUUUGUAGUGUACUGCAAUAAUAUGAAACGUGAUUGUUUUCAAAUAAUAAUGAACAUGUUUCUGCGUCAUCUUCAACAAUAGGAAAAAUUCCCUAACCUGAAUAUUUUGCUAUAAAAUACAAUGACUCACCUAUAAAUAUCAAGGAAAUACUUGAUAAGUAUUGGCUCCCAUAUAAUAUACCAAAGAAUACAAAUCCAAGAAAGAAGUAACAAUCCAAAACUGUGUAUGAGAUAAUUUUCUAUGCCCAUAACAAUAAGAACACUCCACAACAUGCAAAAAAGAAUUUAGUCAAUCUCAAAGGAAAACUACUCUCAACACAAAAGAAAAUAAGACAUUAAAACAACGAGUUGGAUGCUUGAAAGAAAGUAGAGUUUUUAAAGGAUAUAGUGGAAGACCUAAAACAAGAAAAACUUUUCCAUGCAUGAAUAUGCUUCAUUACAAUUAUUCAACUGCAUGUAGAGGAAUAGAAACAAUAGUAACUACAGCUGACUUAGAACUAUAUGGAUUCCUAAGAGAAGAGUGCAAAUAAAAUUGUAUCAAAAUUAAGGUUAGCUAUGUAUAUAUAAAUUGUAUUAUUUUAUUAUAUA